rnacentral:rRNA from 1 species
UACAGAGGUCUCAAGCGUUGUUCGGAUUCAUUGGGCGUAAAGAGCUCGUAGGCGGCUUGUCGCGUCGAAUGUGAAAUCUCAGGGCUCAACUCUGACAUUGCAUUCGAUACGGGCAGGCUAGAGUUCGGUAGGGGAGACUGGAAUUCCUGGUGUAGCGGUGAAAUGCGCAGAUAUCAGGAGGAACACCGGUGGCGAAGGCGGGUCUCUGGGCCGAUACUGACGCUGAGGAGCGAAAGCGUGGGGGAGCGAACAGG